rnacentral:rRNA from 1 species
GAUGAACGCUGGCGGCGUGCCUAAUACAUGCAAGUCGAGCGGUAAGGCCUCUUCGGAGGUACACGAGCGGCGGACGGGUGAGUAACGCGUAAGAACAUACCCCAAACUGAGGGAUAACUGCUCGAAAGAGUAGCUAAUACCGCAUGUGCUCUAAGGAGUAAAGCUUCGGCGGUUUGGGAAUGGCUUGCGUCUGAUUAGCUAGUUGGUAAGGUAAUGGCUUACCAAGGCGACGAUCGGUAGCUGGUUUGAGAGGAUGAUCAGCCACACUGGGACUGAGACACGGCCCAGACUCCUACGGGAGGCAGCAGUAGGGAAUUUUCCACAAUGGGGGCAACCCUGAUGGAGCAACGCCGCGUGCAGGAUGAAGGCCUUCGGGUUGUAAACUGCUUUUGUCUGUGACGAAUAUGACGGUAGCAGACGAAUAAGGAAUCGGACUAACUACGUGU